rnacentral:rRNA from 1 species
UGGGGAAUUUUGCACAAUGGGGGAAACCCUGAUGCAGCGACGCAGCGUGAUUUAGAAGGCCUUCGGGUUGUAAAAAUCUUUUCUAUGGGAAGAAAAUGACAGUACCAUAGGAAUAAGGACCGGCUAAUUACGUGCCAGCAGCCGCGGUAAUACGUAAGGUCCGAGCGUUGUCCGGAAUCAUUGGGCGUAAAGGGUACGUAGGCGGGUAAGCAAGUUAGAAGUGAAAUCCUGUAGCUCAACUACAGUAAGCUUUUAAAACUGCUCAUCUUGAGAUAUGGAAGGGAAAGUGGAAUUCCUAGUGUAGCGGUGAAAUGCGCAGAUAUUAGGAGGAAUACCGGUGGCGAAGGCGACUUUCUGGCAAUAAUCUGACGCUGAGGUACGAAAGCGUGGGUAGCAAACAGG